AUUGAACGCUGGCGGCAUGCUUUACACAUGCAAGUCGAACGGUAACAGGCCGCAAGGUGCUGACGAGUGGCGAACGGGUGAGUAAUGCAUCGGAACGUGCCCAGUCGUGGGGGAUAACGCAGCGAAAGCUGCGCUAAUACCGCAUACGAUCUCUGGAUGAAAGCGGGGGACCGAAAGGCCUCGCGCGAUUGGAGCGGCCGAUGUCAGAUUAGGUAGUUGGUGGGGUAAAGGCCCACCAAGCCAACGAUCUGUAGUUGGUCUGAGAGGACAACCAGCCACACUGGGACUGAGAAACGGCCCAGACUCCUACGGGAGGCAGCGUUGGGGAAUUUUGGACAAUGGGCGCAAGCCUGAUCCAGCAAUGCCGCGUGCAGGAAGAAGGCCUUCGGGUUGUAAACUGCUUUUGUACGGAACGAAACGGUUCGGGUUAAUACCCUGGGCUAAUGACGGUACCGUAAGAAUAAGCACCGGCUAACUACGUGCCAGCAGCCGCCGUAAAAC
rnacentral:rRNA from 1 species